rnacentral:rRNA from 1 species
AUUGAACGCUGGCGGCAUGCCUUACACAUGCAAGUCGAACGGCAGCGCGGGAGCAAUCCUGGCGGCGAGUGGCGAACGGGUGAGUAAUACAUCGGAACGUGCCCAAUCGUGGGGGAUAACGCAGCGAAAGCUGUGCUAAUACCGCAUACGAUCUACGGAUGAAAGCAGGGGAUCGCAAGACCUUGCGCGAAUGGAGCGGCCGAUGGCAGAUUAGGUAGUUGGUGAGGUAAAGGCUCACCAAGCCUUCGAUCUGUAGCUGGUCUGAGAGGACGACCAGCCACACUGGGACUGAGACACGGCCCAGACUCCUACGGGAGGCAGCAGUGGGGAAUUUUGAACAAUGGGCGAAAGCCUGAUCCAGCCAUGCCGCGUGCAGGAUGAAGGCCUUCGGGUUGUAAACUGCUUUUGUACGGAACGAAACGGUCUUUUCUAAUAAAGAAGGCUAAUGACGGUACCGUAAGAAUAAGCACCGGCUAACUACGUG